AACUUUCGCCAAUCGUACAAAAGCUGACUUGCAACAUUUUGCUUCAUUUUGACCCGAAAAUUUCUCUCCCCUCUGAAACCCUAGGUCUGGCGAUUUUGGAAGCGACCCAAACGUAUCUCCUGCGAUAUUGAAGAAGAAGGUCAGGUAAUAAUAGUGCAAGUCCUUUGAAGCCCUAAAACAUUUGUUUUAGUGUGAUUACAAGUGUUCUUCGGUUCGGAGUUGUUCGAUUUUGUCUUAGAGACUCUCCCUUUUCCAAAUAUUAAAUGGAUGUGCCCAACUGCUCCUUCUCAACCAAUAACAUUAUUUGGUGGUUUUCUCUCAACUGAUUGUAAGUUUUAUUCCUUUGAGAAACUUGCAUUAUUUUCUUUUUGAUUUAUAAUGGUUGUUGCAAUCCUGAGUUAGAAGUCGUACAAUUCGGUACUGUAAUUAAAGUAGUUGGGUUCGAUUUUGAAUUUUACAAAAAGAGGGCAAAAAAAAAAAAAAAAAACAAAAAAAAAAUAUUUAUUAUCUUCCUUUUCAUGAACUUUCACUACAAGAGGGAAAAUUGUGUUAUAAUCCUGAAGUAAAACUUGAUGUGUUACAUAUGUUUGGAACCAAAAUUCUACUGUUUGUCCUGCUAAUAAAUAUUAUAUGAAUUCUUGCAUGAUUUAAUUUAGGGUUUGACGUAAAUGACCUUUCGGAAAGUGCUCAUGCAAAUGUUGCAGGUUUGUUAUCAAUGGAGCCCGCUGACAGUAGAUUCUCUUAAAUUCAGGCUUGUUAUAGAUUCAAAGAAUUUGGUAUAUUUUCUGUAUUUCCUUGAUAAGCGAUGAUAUAACUAAGAGCAAAUAUUACUUAGAAAAUUUGGGACUGAGCUUGAAAAAAAGGUAUGCUUACUUUGAAGGCUCAUUGAAUUUUAAUGAUUGAUUAAUAUAUGCCUGUAACCAGUGGAGUAUACUCAUUCAUUUUGAUUUUUUCAUUUUCAGGUUCACUAUAUAUUGCAGACAAGAAAAGUUGGACUAGUGUUUUUGAGAUGUGUUUUUUUUUUUUUUUUUUUUUUUUUUUGGCAGUUAGAAGAAAAUUGUAAUAUUUGCUACCAUGUUUUAUUUACAUUUUGCCUCUUGUAAUAAAUAAUACAAUUGUUCAAAACAGAUUUAUGUCAACUUUUAAUAUAGGUUAGAUUAUUUGUUCAUUAUACACCGGUUGUAUAUUGUAAUAUUCUUCCAAUGUUAUAUAUUAUACGUUCUAUUUCA